CGGGGGGGGCAAGCGUUGUUCGGAAUUACUGGGCGUAAAGGGCUCGUAGGCGGCCAACUAAGUCAGACGUGAAAUCCCUCGGCUUAACCGGGGAAUUGCGUCUGAUACUGGAUGGCUUGAGUUUGGGAGAGGGAUGCGGAAUUCCAGGUGUAGCGGUGAAAUGCGUAGAUAUCUGGAGGAACACCGGUGGCGAAGGCGGCAUCCUGGACCAACACUGACGCUGAUGAGCGAAAGCCAGGGGAGCAAACGGGAUUAGAUACCCCGGUAGUCCUGGCCCUAAACGAUGAAUGCUUGGUGUGGCGGGUAUCGAUCCCUGCCGUGCCGAAGCUAACGCAUUAAGCAUUCCGCCUGGGGAGUACGGUCGCAAGGCUG
rnacentral:rRNA from 1 species